rnacentral:lncRNA from 1 species
GCUGUUUUUUUUUUCUCCAUUAUCUUGCCUUUUGUUAGAUACAAUUAAAUCUUUUCGAUAUUUUCUUGAAUAUCUUAACUAUGUGGAGCUUUUACAAAAACGUAACAAAACCAUUUGGAGCUUAUCACCAUUCAAAUAAAUGAUGUGGGUUUUAUUUAAAGAUUAAAUGACAUCCUCGAUUUUAAUUUUUAAAAUUUUUUUAUAAUUAAUAUAUUUUGACCAUAUUCUUUUCCCUCCUCCAAUUUCUCAGAUCCUCUCUAAUUCCCUACUAACCCAACUUCAUGGUCUCUCUCCCUUCCUCCCCACAAUAAAAACAUCCCGCCCUCCUUCUCCCCCAACCAAAACAAACAAACACAUAAAACAAACUAAAUACUAUACACAAAAGCACGUGGAGUUCUGUUUUAUGUUGGCGUAGAGUCUGCUUUGAAGUGUGGUUGAUAUACCCAGAGACACUCCAUUGGAGAAAACUGAUUUUCUCUGUUCCAGAAGGUAUCAGUUGUAAAUAGCUUCUUGGUUAGAGGCAUGAUUUUGUAUCUCCAUUUCCUUCUUCAUCCUGGCAUUUUGUCUGAUCUGAACUCAUGCAAGCCUUGUACAUGAUGCCUCCUCGGUGAGUUCAUGUGUGUAUCUGCCCUGUCGUGUCUGGAAUACAGGGUUUGGAGCUUGUCCACCACCUCUGGCUCUUAGAGUGUUUCUACCUCCUCUCCUGCAUGGUCCCCUGAGCUUUCUGAGGAGGAAUUUGAUAAAGACAUCUCUUCUAGGGCUCCCUCCCCGUUCAUUGUCUAGUUGUGGGUCUUCGUUAAUUACCACCUACGGCAAGGAGAAGCUUAUCCGAUGAGGGUUGAUUGAUGCCCAGAGCUGAGUCUAGCCAGGUGUCCCAUCAAUUGAAGAUUAUGUUAACUUCUGCCUCAUGUGUGUUCAUGUGUUCUGCUGGGAGUCGCAUCACUUAAAUAUGAUGGUUAACCUAGUAUUCAUGACUAGUGGGUAAUGUGGGUAGUUUGCAGCAUAACAGUUACUAGGCUUUAAACUUUCUACUUGUCAAGUGUGGGUUGAUCACCUUCAAAUUAAGCAUAUUGCUGACUUAAUGACAGUAGAUAUCUGUCCUUUGGUAGCAUCUAUUCAAAACCAGAGAUCAGUAUAUCUCCCUUGGAAGAUAUCCUCCACAUGUCUCAAGAGAAGGAAAGUAAACUGACUGUCGAGGUAAAUAGAAUUAACAACUUCAGUUCCACUCACUGAUUUAAGGAGGCAUUGCUUGUUGCGGUGUGUCUCGAGUUUAGAGGGGGUUGUUUAAUUUUAUACUGGUUUCAUUUGUCAUUUUUAAUCUGGAUUUUUGUCAACAGCCAAAACCACAUCUCAGUCUCCUGAUGCCCAGGCAAGCUGUGGCCAUCCCCAAACUGACUCUGUCGCUGGUCCAGCCAUGGCCACCACCAAAGAAAACCUCCCUGUGCUCAACACUAGAAUCAUCUGCCCAGGUAGUGUAGUUGUGUGACGUGGUCCGUGCUUUAAGACACCUGUGAAAAUGAGUAACUUCAACUUAUCUUAUUCAUGAACUACAGAAAGGUGUCCUUAGUGAUAAAUGUUCCUUUAAGAGAAUAGUUUUUUUUUUUUUUUGCCAAACUUAGUUGUAGAAAUCCAGGUCUUUAGAUUAUUCCAUGUCUAAUUGUGUAGGACGUAUUCAAACUCACAUUUAAUUUUAAGCCUUGUCCUAAGAAAUGUUAGUUUGUUGGUUCUAGGUCAGAGCCCAGGAGUGUGUGCCUGAAUUGGAGCUGACCUUCUAUCCUGUGAUCUCCAAGGAUCCCCACAGAUAUCUCCUUGUGGUUUUAAGCCACUACUUUCUCUGUAGGCUGUUUUAGCUAGUAUUUGUUUCAGCCUGGAUGAAAUGAGUUUGCCUUGGAUUAGGCUGAUACAAGUAGACACCAAAGAGUUUAGGUGGGAGCUGGAGGGAAACACAUGUGUCUCAGAGCUUCCUAAAUCUACAGAGGUUUUAAAAUUCCUUUCAUUAUCAUUCAGAACGCGCUGGAAUCCAUUUAGACCCUUCUGGUGAAUUUCUCUGUAACUAUGGGCUUUAAUUAAGACACUGGUUGGAGAGUUUGUUCUUCUCUUUGAAUAGUGACAGGUCAGCCAGGCAGAUGGUCAGGGAAAUGGGGUACCCAGAAGUCACAUGAGACAGUAAGAUCCAGUCAGCAUCCAAAGGACACCCAUACACAGAGGAAUGUGCACUCUUCUCAAGAGUAUGUGGGACACUCUCUAGGAUAGAGCAUAAGCCAGUUAGGUCACAAAACAUUCUCAGUAAGACCGAGCGGAUCUCCAGCUCACUGUUCGGUGCUCAGCACAACGGACUGCGAGGGAUGAGGUGUACGCAGCUCAUAAACGUGGAAGUAAAAUUAGAGAAAAUAAUGGAAAGACUAAAAACGAAGCAGAGAAAAAAAUUAAAAAAAAAUUAAAAAGCAGAGAAAAUACUUUGCUAUGAGAACAUAAACGCACCAUCCUACGACGUAGCUGAUGCAGCUGAACCCUGCCUGGCGUGGAGUGGAGGGCUAAAGGCCGCCUGUGAAAAGUUCCAUUCACCUCAUGUGAACCACCUGGCGCCUGCCCCCCUCCCUCCCCCACCCCCACCCCCGUGGUAGACAGGAGCUAACUAAUGGGAGCUGACGAGGAAGCAAGGAAUACAUGUGAGAGCACUAAUAAAUAUGAGAAUUAAAAAAGCAAU